CUGGAUGUAAUGAAAAUUGCCGUAAGUUCGACUUCUCUUUAUAAAUUCACGAUGAUGAUAACUGAAGAAAUGCCGAGCGUGGUAACUCCCAUUUGUUUGUUCAACCGUGACAACGCAAUGGACUGGAAACCCUACUAUGAAUUUUCACCAAAUAGCAUCAUACCACCCAGGCAAACAAAUGUGAUGGAGCAAGGCCACUGUAGCAGACUUCUACACAGCACUCAAUUGUUGAGACAUUUGCAAUAUUUCAAAAUUCCCAUCCAGAAAAUCCUGUGUGUCCAGGAAAGCAAUAAAAGUUAUGGUUUUCUGAUCAACUUCUACAAAGGCCGCUAUUUCUUGAGAGGCCUAAAAUAUAAAUCGGAUGACCGUUUUUACAUUGACAUAUUGCCAUUCAUUGACGUGUUCGCAAGGAAUGCAAAAGACAUUUCUGUUCUACGCCCGAUGCCGGAAAAAAAGCAACC